rnacentral:rRNA from 1 species
UACGUAGGGUGCAAGCGUUGUCCGGAGUUACUGGGCGUAAAGGGUGCGCAGGCGGCCUGGCGCGUCGCGAGUGAAAUCUCCUGGCUCAACUGGGAGGGUGGUCGCGAGACGGCUGGGCUUGAGGCUCGGUGAGGGGCGUGGAAUUCCGGGUGGAGCGGUGAAAUGCGUAGAGAUCGGAAAGAACACCAACGGCGAAAGCACUCUGCUGGGCCGACACUGACACUGAGAGACGAAAGCUAGGGGAGCGAAUGGG